rnacentral:lncRNA from 1 species
GGAGGAGAAUCAUGCACAAAAGCCAAAUUUCAGGUCAUUUGCCAGCUAUCACCUUUCCUUUUUUUGUAGGGAGGGAGAGGAAGUCUGGAGGGGAUCCAUGCAUGUGAUUUCAGCUCUAUGAUUUGCUCCUGUGUCUGCAAUGUCUCAACCCCAGACUGCAAGGGGUGGAACAGUGAGUGAUGUGAUUUAUCAUGCUGACUUUUCAAACAUCCUUACAUUCUUGGGAACUACAUUAAGUGACUUGAAAAAGGGUGACAGCAAUUGUAACUCAAGAAAUUCUGUG